rnacentral:rRNA from 1 species
AUUGAACGCUGGCGGCAGGCCUAACACAUGCAAGUCGAACGGGUGGCGGACGUGUGAGUAAGGUCUGGGAAACUUCCUGAUGGAGGGGGAUAACUACUGGAAACGGUAGCUAAUACCGCAUACCAUCGGAUGUGCCAGGAUGGGAUUAGCUAGUUGGUGGGGUAACGGCUCACCAAGGCGACGAUCCCUAGCUGGUCUGAGAGGAUGACCAGUCACACGGGAACUGAGACACGGUCCAGACUCCUACGGGAGGCAGCAGUGGGGAAUAUUGCACAAUGGGCGAAAGCCUGAUGCAGCCAUGCCGCGUGUAUGAAGAAGGCCUUCGGGUUGUAAAGUACUUUCAGCGGGGAGGCGUUACCAGCAGAAGAAGCACCGGCUAACUCCGUGCCAGCCGCCGCGGUAAUUC